rnacentral:rRNA from 1 species
GAUGAACGCUGGCGGCGUGCCUAAUACAUGCAAGUCGAGCGAACAGAUGAGGAGCUUGCCCCUUUGACGUUAGCGGCGGAAGGGUGAGUAACACGCGGGUAACCUACCUAUAAGACAGGGAUAACUUCGGGAAACCGGAGCUAAUACCGGAUAACAUUGGGAACCGCAUGGUUCUAAAGAGAAAGAUGGUUUUGCUAUCACUUAUAGAUGGACCCGCGCCGUAUUAGCUAGUUGGUAAGGUAACGGCUUACCAAGGAAACGAUACGUAGCCGAGCUGAGAGGGUGAUCGGCCACACUGGAACUGAGACACGGUCCAGACUCCUACGGGAGGCAGCAGUAGGGAAUCUUCCGCAAUGGGCGAAAGCCUGACGGAGCAACGCCGCGUGAGUGAUGAAGGGUUUCGGCUCGUAAAACUCUGUUAUUAGGGAAGAACAAAUGUGUAAGUAACUGUGCACGUCUUGACGGUACCUAAUCAGAAAGCCACGGCUAACUACGUG